rnacentral:rRNA from 1 species
GACGAACGCUGGCGGCGCGCCUAACACAUGCAAGUCGAACGAGCGAGGGGGAGCUUGCUUUCUCGAGCGAGUGGCGCACUGGUGUGUCACGAGUGCGGAACCUGCCUCAAAGAGGGGGACAACAGUUGGAACCGACUGCUAAUACCGCAUAAGCCCACGUUGCCGCCUGACCCAGUGGGAAAAGGAGCAAUCCGCUUUGAGAUGGCCUCGCGUCCGAUUAGCUAGUUGGUGAGGUUAUGGCCCACCAAGGCGACGAUCGGUAGCCGGACUGAGAGGUUGAACGGCCACAGUGGGACUGAGGCACGGCCCAGACUCCUGCGGGAGGCAGCAGUGGGGAAUAGUGCACAAGGGGGGAAACCCUGAUGCAGCGACGCCGCGUAGAGGAAGAAGGUCUUCGGAUUGUAAACGCCUGUUGUUGGGGAAGAGAAUGACGGUACCCAACAAGUAAGUGACAGCUAACUACGUG